UACGUAGGGGUGCAAGCGUUAAUCGGAAUUACUGGGCGUAAAGCGUGCGCAGGCGGUUUUGUAAGUUUGUCGUGAAAGCCCCGGGCUCAACCUGGGAAUUGCGAUGAAGACUGCAAGGCUUGAAUCUGGCAGAGGGGGGUAGAAUUCCACGUGUAGCAGUGAAAUGCGUAGAGAUGUGGAGGAACACCGAUGGCGAAGGCAGCCCCCUGGGCUAACACUGACGCUCAUGCACGAAAGCGUGGGGAGCAAACAGG
rnacentral:rRNA from 1 species